GUGCUCCUGAACUCGCGGUGGUGAUGGGGUCUCACUCUCACCCAGUCUGGAGUGCAGUGGCGCCAUCUCAGCUCAUUGCAGCCUCUGCCUCCUGGGCUUGAGUGAUCUUCCCACCUCGACCUCCUGAGUAGCUGAACCACAAGUGCAUGCCUGGCCAAUUUUUGUAUUUUUGGUAGAAAUGGAGUUUCACCAUGUUGCCCAGGCUGGUCUCAAAACUGGCCUCCCAAAGUGCUGGGAUUACAGACACAACUGGCCUACCUGCAGGAUUUUCAGUUUAUGGACAUGACUGACUGGAGACAUGGAGAAGCUGUUGUUAUUGGAGAUUUUUAUUACUCGCAUUUCCUGAGCGAUGGGGACACUCACUGUGGGGAAAAGCAAGAGAGAUCAGAUUGUUACUGUGUCUGUGUAGAAAGAAGUAGACAUAGGAGACUCCAUUUUGUUCUGUACUAAGAAAAAUUCUUCUGCCUUGGGAUCCUGUUGAUCUGUGACCUUACCCCCAACCCCGUGCUCUCUGAAACAUGUGCUACGUCCACUCAGGGUUAAAUGGAUUAAGGGCGGUGCAAGAUGUGCUUUGUUAAACAGAUGCUUGAAGGCAGCACGCUCCUUAAGAGUCAUCACCACUCCCUAAUCUCAAGUACCCAGGGACACAGAAACUGCGGAAGGCCGCAGGGUCCUCUGCCUAGGAAAGCCAGGUAUUGUCCAAGGUUUCUCCCCAUGUGAUAGUCUGAAAUAUGGCCUCGUGGGAAGGGAAAGACCUGACCGUCCCCCAGCCCGACACCCGUAAAGGGUCUGUGCUGAGGAGGAUUAGUAUAAGAGGAAGGAAUGCCUCUUGCAGUUGAGACAAGAGGAAGGCAUCUGUCUCCUGCCUGUCCCUGGGCAAUGGAAUGUCUCAGUAUAAAACCCGAUUGUAUGUUCCAUCUACUGAGAUGGGGAAAAACCGCCUUAGGGCUGGAGGUGGGACCCGCGGGCAGCAAUACUGCUUUGUAAAGCAUUGAGAUGUUUAUGUGUAUGCAUAUCUAAAGCACAGCACUUAAUCCUUUACAUUGUCUAUGAUGCAAAGACCUUUGUUCACGUGUUUGUCUGCUGACCCUCUCCCCACAAUUGUCUUGUGACCGUGACACAUCCCCCUCUUUGAGAAACACCCACAAAUGAUCAAUAAAUACUAAGGGAACGCAGAGGCUGGCGGGAUCCUCCAUGUGCUGAACGCUGGUUCCCCGGGUCCCCUUAUUUCUUUCUCUAUACUUUGUCUCUGUGUCUUUUUCUUUCCUAAGUCUCUCGUUCCACCUUACGAGAAACACCCACAGGUGUGGAGGGGCAACCCACCCCUACACUCACACUAUGCAGGGCGACAUGAGAAGCCCCGGUGUUUUGUCAGGAGGCAGAGAGAGGGGAGAAAGCUAAGGCCAGAGCC
rnacentral:lncRNA from 1 species